ACUCUUCCAGUUCAAGAAAGAAGUGGAGGCAGGAAGAUCUGAACUGCAAAGUCAUCUGCUGAUACCUACUGGGUACAAGACCUCCCUGGCUUACAUAAAACAAGAAAUUUCAUUUGAAAGCAAUAGAUAUAUAAGAAACAAAGAAGGAAAGGAAGAAAGGAAAAAAGGAAAGGAAGAAAGGGAGAAAGGCAGAAAGGCAGGAAGAAAAUAAUGACUCUGUUACUGAAGACACCUCAUCCUUGUUAGAAAGCAUUGGAGAAACCAAGCUGGUAUUGACCUAGAAACCUCAUCCCUACUCGCUAGCUUUCAUUGUGCAGAAAAGUGCUGUGUCAGCUACCAGAGAAAACAAAUAAUCAGUAUAUACAGCUGUGAUGACUUUCUGGUAAAAUAAUGAUCAGCCUGGCAAGGCAUGAUGACUGGUGCAGUACUGGCACAAAUUCACGAGGACCAGCAACUGUCUUGUUAGACUUAAGACCUCAUCCACAAGGUAAAACCUAUAGGUAAUGUGGUGAUCAUGGCCAAAAAAUGUAUCUAGACAGAUUAUAAGCCCUAGAGGACAACCUACUAUUUUUCUGCUAAAUAAAUAUACCAUUAAACGGG
rnacentral:lncRNA from 1 species